rnacentral:rRNA from 1 species
UACGGAGGAUCCAAGCGUUAUUCGGAAUCAUUGGGUUUAAAGGGUCCGUAGGCGGUUUGGUAAGUCAGUGGUGAAAGCCCAUCGCUCAACGGUGGAACGGCCAUUGAUACUGCCAGACUUGAAUUAUUAGGAAGUAACUAGAAUAUGUAGUGUAGCGGUGAAAUGCUUAGAGAUUACAUGGAAUACCAAUUGCGAAGGCAGGUUACUACUAAUGGAUUGACGCUGAUGGACGAAAGCGUGGGUAGCGAACAGG